UACGGGGGGGGCAAGCGUUGUUCGGAAUUACUGGGCGUAAAGGGCGCGUAGGCGGCAAUUCAAGUCAUCUGUGAAAUCUCCGGGCUUAACUCGGAACGGUCAGAUGAUACUGCUUUGCUCGAGUGCGGAAGGGGCAAUCGGAAUUCUUGGUGUAGCGGUGAAAUGCGUAGAUAUCGGGAGGAACACCAGUGGCGAAGGCGGCUACCUGGCCCACUCUUGACGCUGAGGCGCGAAAGCUAGGGGAGCAAACGGG
rnacentral:rRNA from 1 species